UGGGUCGUAGCUCAAUGGCAGAGCGGUCGGUUGUUAACCGAAUGAUUGCGAGUUCGAGUCUCGCCGACCCAG
rnacentral:tRNA from 1 species